UACGGGGGGGGCAAGCGUUGUUCGGAAUUACUGGGCGUAAAGGGCUCGUAGGCGGCCAACUAAGUCAGACGUGAAAUCCCUCGGCUUAACCGGGGAACUGCGUCUGAUACUGGAUGGCUAGAGGUUGGGAGAGGGAUGCGGAAUUCCAGGUGUAGCGGUGAAAUGCGUAGAUAUCUGGAGGAACACCGGUGGCGAAGGCGGCAUCCUGGACCGCGACUGACGCUGAGGAGCGAAAGCCAGGGGAGCAAACGGG
rnacentral:rRNA from 1 species